rnacentral:sRNA from 1 species
GCCGGGUGCGAUGGCUCACGCCUGUCAUCCCAGCAGCUUGGGAGGCUGAGGCAGGAGGAUGGCGAGUUCCAAGCCAGCCUCAGCCAAAGUGAGGCCCUAAGCAACUCAGUGAGACCCUGUCUCUA